rnacentral:rRNA from 1 species
AUUGAACGCUGGCGGCAGGCCUAACACAUGCAAGUCGAGCGAGCGGCGGACGGGUGAGUAAUGUCUGGGAAACUGCCUGAUGGAGGGGGAUAACUACGGGAACCUGUAGCUAAUACCGCGUACCAUAGGAUGGGCCCCAGUGGGAUUCGGUAGUUGGUGAGGUAAAGGCUAACCACGCCGACGAUCCCUAGCUGGUCUGAGAGGAUGACCAGCCACACUGGAACUGAGACACGGUCCAGACUCCUACGUGCGGAAGCAGUGGGGAAUAUUGCACAAUGGGCGCAAGCCUGAUGCAGCCAUGCCGCGUGUGUGAAGAAGGCCUUCGGGUUGUAAAGCACUUUCAGCGGGGAGGCGUUACCCGCAGAAGAAGCACCGGCUAACUCCGUGCCAGCCGCCGCGGUAAUUC